rnacentral:rRNA from 1 species
CUUGACGAUCAUAGAGCGUUGGAACCACCUGAUCCCUUCCCGAACUCAGAAGUGAAACGACGCAUCGCCGAUGGUAG